UCGGUUACCCCAAAUUCCUUCUCAAUUCCAAAUAAGCCAAUCAGAAUAACUCCCUGGAAAAGUGACCCUUCUCCAGUAAUCUAGUAACUAUAAUCUGCAAUGUUAUUACGCUCCAGAAAUACAUCCAGACCCCUCUUCUCUUUUGGUGAGUGCACCA